AUUUAUCAGGGUACCUCACUUGAGUGGGUGUGACUGUGGAAGUAAUGCUGCCCACAGCCUUCACCCCUGUGUGGGGAUGCUCAGAGAUUGGAUCCCUUCUGGAGAUGUUUGAAGACUCAGAAGCAUUUUGCAAACACAGAUAUUUUUAUGCCUACUCAUUUGUAAUUUGCAUAAAUAAGGAGAUUAAACCUGCUAUGCUACACACU